rnacentral:rRNA from 1 species
CUCCUACGGGAGGCAGCAGUGGGGAAUCUUGGACAAUGGGCGCAAGCCUGAUCCAGCCAUGCCGCGUGAGUGAUGAAGGCCUUAGGGUCGUAAAGCUCUUUCGCCAGGGAUGAUAAUGACAGUACCUGGUAAAGAAACCCCGGCUAACUCCGUGCCAGCAGCCGCGGUAAUACGGAGGGGGUUAGCGUUGUUCGGAAUUACUGGGCGUAAAGCGUACGUAGGCGGAUCAGAAAGUUAGGGGUGAAAUCCCGGGGCUCAACCCCGGAACUGCCUCUAAAACUCCUGGUCUUGAGUUCGAGAGAGGUAAGUGGAAUUCCGAGUGUAGAGGUGAAAUUCGUAGAUAUUCGGAGGAACACCAGUGGCGAAGGCGGCUUACUGGCUCGAUACUGACGCUGAGGUACGAAAGUGUGGGGAGCAAACAGGAUUAGAUACCCUGGUAGUCCACACCGUAAACGAUGAAUGCCAGUCGUCGGGUAGCAUGCUAUUCGGUGACACACCUAACGGAUUAAGCAUUCCGCCUGGGGAGUACGGUCGCAAGAUUAAAACUCAAAGGAAUUGACGG